rnacentral:rRNA from 1 species
AUUGAACGCUGGCGGCAGGCCUAACACAUGCAAGUCGAGCGGUAGAGAGGUGCUUGCAUCUCUUGAGAGCGGCGGACGGGUGAGUAAUGCCUAGGAAUCUGCCUAGUGGUGGGGGAUAACGUUCGGAAACGGACGCUAAUACCGCAUACGUCCUACGGGAGAAAGCGGGGGAUCUUCGGACCUCGCGCCAUUAGAUGAGCCUAGGUCGGAUUAGCUAGUUGGUGAGGUAAUGGCUCACCAAGGCGACGAUCCGUAACUGGUCUGAGAGGAUGAUCAGUCACACUGGAACUGAGACACGGUCCAGACUCCUACGGGAGGCAGCAGUGGGGAAUAUUGGACAAUGGGCGAAAGACCUGAUCCAGCCAUGCCGCGUGUGUGAAGAAGGUCUUCGGAUUGUAAAGCACUUUAAGUUGGGAGGAAGGGUAGUAACCUAAUACGUUGCUACUUUGACGUUACCGACAGAAUAAGACACCGGCUAACUUCGUGCCAGCAGCCG